AGAGUUUGAUCCUGGCUCAGAACGAACGCUGGCGGCAGGCUUAACACAUGCAAGUCGAACGCCCCGCAAGGGGAGUGGCAGACGGGUGAGUAACGCGUGGGAAUCUACCUAGUUCUGCGGAACAACAGAGGGAAACUUCUGCUAAUACCGCAUACGCCCUACGGGGGAAAGAUUUAUCGGAAUUAGAUGAGCCCGCGUAAGAUUAGCUAGUUGGUGGGGUAAUGGCCUACCANGGCGACGAUCUUUAGCUGGUCUGAGAGGAUGAUCAGCCACACUGGGACUGAGACACGGCCCAGACUCCUACGGGAGGCAGCAGUGGGGAAUAUUGGACAAUGGGCGCAAGCCUGGUCCAGCCAUGCCGCGUGAGUGAUGAAGGCCUUAGGGUUGUAAAGCUCUUUCAGUGGGGAAGAUAAUGACGGUACCCACAGAAGAAGCCCCGGCUAACUUCGUGCCAGCAGCCGCGGUAAUACGAAGGGGGCUAGCGUUGUUCGGAUUUACUGGGCGUAAAGCGCACGUAGGCGGAUUGUUAAGUGAGGGGUGAAAUCCUGGAGCUCAACUCCAGAACUGCCUUUCAUACUGGCGAUCUANAGUCCGGAAGAGGUAAGUGGAACUCCUAGUGUAGAGGUGGAAUUCGUAGAUAUUAGGAAGAACACCAGUGGCGAAGGCGGCUUACUGGUCCGGUACUGACGCUNAGGUGCGAAAGCGUGGGGAGCAAACAGG
rnacentral:rRNA from 1 species